ACGCAGGGCCGCCGAGGCGGGAUCCCCGAAUGCGGUUCUCGCUCGCUGCGUGGCGGUAAAGGACCCCGGGUGUCGUAAAAGGGCCGCAGUGGCAGCGCCCCGGCCGACGGCUGUUAUCCCAUUUUGGACGCCGUCCUCGCUGCGAAAAGUUGGGGCAACCUGUUGCUAGUCUGUUCGUUGGUGACAGCUAGGCUUCCGCGCUCGCUGCUGGUGGGCAGCCCCGCCGUGGCCCGCGGGCUGGAAGAGGCGGCGGCGUGAUGCGGCCUGUGGACGCGGACGAGGCGCGGGAGCCCCGCGAGGACCCGGGCAGCCCGCUGAGCCCGGUGCCCCGCGCCGGCCGCGAGGACCUGGCCUCCCUGGAGCGCGAGCGCGCCCGGGCGCACUGGCGGGCCCGCAGGAAGCUGCUGGAGAUCCAGAGCCUGCUCGACGCCAUCAAGAGCGAGGUGGAGGCGGAGGAGCGGGGCGCCCGGGCCCCUGCACCCAGCCCGCGCGCGGAGGCGGAGGAGCGGGUGGCUCGGCUGUGUGCCGAGGCGGAGAGGAAGGCCGCGGAGGCGGCGCGGAUGGGCAGAAGGAUCGUGGAGCUGCACCAGCGGAUCGCUGGCUGCUAGUGCUGCUGAGCCGGCGGGGUCGCGCGGGGAGGAGCCGAAUCCGGCGGGGAGUGUCCCGCGUGGAAGGCGCUGGGCAGGCAGGGAGGGGAGCGCAGAGCCGUGCCACUCUCUCCGCCGAGUUGGUUUCAUUCUUUUUUCAUAGGUGGCCGACUGACGAACUGUGUUCACCUGAUAAGGAUUCCUGGCCGUUUGGACAGGCUCAUACCAAGAGAGCCUUUCGUUUUGUCUCCCCUGUUUUUCUGCCUGCGUUUUCUCCACGUUAGCCACUCAAUUUCCAGUAGCAUCCUGGCGGAUGACUUCAGCAUUAGAUGGUCAGGUGUAUUUUUUGAUUAAUAGGUGCAUUCAGUUUGGAAAAGACAGCUUUUCAUUAACGUCCCACGUAAAGGAAUAUGGCCUAUACGGUACGUACGCUGCUGCGUGGUCAUAUUUGUUCCUGUGAUCUUACUGUAUUUUCAAAGUUUGGAAAUAUACAUACCGUGUGCUUUGCAAUUGUUUUAUGCUUCCUGGAAUUUGGGGAUUCACGAGAGACUUGAGGUUAGAGUUCUGCAAGAGAGAAGACACUACAUGAUUGCAGCUGCUACAUCAAGAACCCAAGCCCCAGUCAAGGUUGUGAAUACGACUUUGGAUGAGAUUGAGAAGGCCCAGUGGACGGUUGGUCUUGAAGAGUGGCAGUGUAUGGACUUGAGGACCUCUGCAGACCAUCAGAUCAAAGGAAGAGAGCUGUUUUGCGUGGGGUUUUUUUGUUGUUGUUUUUAUAGCAUUUUGCUUUUUCCUGGAAUGUAAUUUUCCUAUGACAUGUUAACCGGUGCACAUCGUGUAACCUGUCUGGUGAGCAACCUACAAUUGGGAUGAGUUCUAGGUACAUGUGUUUGCUGACUUUGGGGUAAACUUUGUUAAAAUACAGUCUCUGCCACAAAUGCAUGUGAACUGUUCAGGGGCCCAGAGUGGCGGAGGAAGGAAAGCUUCAAGCUGGCCAUGGGGGUCCCAAACAGUCAUUCCAGGCUUUGAUGAUGACUAGCCUAGGUCAUUAGAGCCCAGACUCCACAGAGACUAAAAUCAGAGCUCUGCCUUGUUGUGAUAAAGUUCCUUUACUUGGAAAAACAAAUGCUGAAAGCCAGUUUUUAAACUCUUUGUGCAGAUGACCAAAGCAAUUGACUUGGCCAGGAAAAGGUGAGGAAACUUCAGCCGAAAACAAAAGAGAAAACGAGCCUCAGAACCUUGCCUGGAAGAAUUCAACUGGUGCCAAAGCUCUGUCACAACAUCAGUAGCUCCUGGUGCGCCGUCUGCUUCCUCGACCCCCAGCAGGCACAUCGGUCAUGAUGGUUUUCGAACCAAUGGUUCAGAAUGCUGAGUACUCGAGGGAGGGCUGCAGCAACAAGCGUGGGACUGAGUUUCUGGCCUCACAGAAUGUUCCAUGACAGACCCUUUUUGACUGACAAGGUGUGAGGUGUCGCUCAGGCUGAGUGAGAUUCGGGGGCCUGAAUGCAGGCAUCCACCCUCUGCUCAGGUCCCAUGUUCCAGAUGUCUUCUGGACACCAACCAGUGGAUGUCAUAGGAUGGAUUCACCUCUUUGUUGAUGUAUUCAUCCAGUGUGUUUUGCUGGCGAUAUACUAGGUCCUUGGGACACCAAGGAGCAGUUGGCUCCUUGGCACUGGAGUCAUUGAUUCAUUUGUUCAAGUAUUCUUUGAAUAGGUACUGAAGACUUAGCAUGCGCCAGGCCUGGAGUAGACAUGACAGCCAUCCUCUUGCACAGCUGCUGCCUUCAGAGGGUUUGCACCCUAGUGGGUGAGAUGGCCACUUAGCAGCCCCUGCCUGUGGGUGAGAAGUGCUGAGCGUGAGCAAAGCCUAGGGUGGGUGGUAUCUGCCCAGCCAGGCAAUAGACAAGGCUCCUUCCCUGAGGGGUCACAGAUCAUGUGUUACAUGGUUUAAGCCAUGUGGGGAUGUGGGCAGGGGAAGGGAAGGUAUGUAGAAGGUUCCAAUCUGGCUGGGUGCAGUGGCUCACGCCUGUAAUCCCAGCACUUUGGGAGGCCGACGUGGGCAGAUCACGAGGUCAGGAGAUCGAGACCAUGAUGGCUAACACAGUGAAACCCCAUCUAUACUAAAAAUACAAAAAAUUAGCCAGGCAUGGUGGCAGGUGCCUGUAGUCCCAGCUACUCGGGAGGCUGAGGCAGGAGAAUGGCGUGAACCCAGGAGGUGGAGCUUGCAGUGAGCCGAGAUCGUGCCACUGCACUCCAGCUUGGGCGACAGAGCGCGACUCCAUCUCAAAAAAUAAAAAAAUAAAAAGGUUCCAAUCUAACUGACCCCAUCCUGUCAGCAGAGAACAGCUGAGGCCCAGCCCUCUACAUUUGCAUGUUUCCUUAUCCUGCCUGACUCCUUUGAUGAAGGCGGUUUGGAUCUUGGGUGCCAUGAUGGUAAGAGCUGAGUUCGUGAACUUUGCAUCUUAGGAGUCAAGGGCAAUAUCCUGUGUAUGAGCCUAGAGGAAGGGAACACACUUGGGGAGGAAGAGCCCCGACCCCGCUGUACACCAGACUGCAGACAGCACACAAGGUGUGGACCGGGGUCCGGAAGGCAGUUCCAUUCCUGACUGUGCUGAUUACUCACCCUGUGGCCAUCUCUUUGGGGGCCACCAUAAAAUGAUAGAUUUGCACUGUGUUUUCUCUGAGUUUCCUUGUAACCUUGACAUUUCAUUUGACUCAGAUUCAUGUAAAGUAACCAGCCACCUCUUGGGCAGUUUUAGCCUUGCUCCUAGAGGUAGCACCUUGAAGACUGGUAUCUGAGGCCCUCUCAGAGACUUGGAAUUUCAUUGUAUGGUCUAGCCACACUAGCACUUCCAAGUAGGUCCUAUAUUGGGACUAAGAGUCUCAUUAGCAGAAGAUUCCUGGGUUCCAGAGAUGCCCUGAGACUACAACUGGAUAAAGAUUGCUGAACAGAUGAAAUUGAUAUUUGAUCUUUCUCCCCAUUGAUUAUGUCAUAUUACAACAUAAUUCUUGGGUAUUCAAAGGCAUCCUGGACUUGGGUCAGGGUGUGCCCAUCAGUCUUAUUAUUUGUUCCAUGUCCUGUAAGUCAGACACAUUUUUCUGUGUUUCUUAAUUCCCACAGUCAUGGUUGCACAUAUACUCUGAGACAUGGAAGAAUGAAGAGUUCCUUAAUAUG